rnacentral:sRNA from 1 species
GCCAGGCAUGGUAGUACUUGCCUGUAAUCCCAGGGACAUGGGAGGCUAAGGCAAGAGGAUCACAAAUUUGAGGCUAGCCUCAGCAAUUUAGUGAGACCUGCCUUAG